GACGAACACUGGCGGCGUGCUUAACACAUGCAAGUCGAACGGAAAGGCCCUGCUUUUGUGGGGUGCUCGAGUGGCGAACGGGUGAGUAACACGUGAGUAACCUGCCCUUGACUUUGGGAUAACUUCAGGAAACUGGGGCUAAUACCGGAUAGGAGCUCCUGCUGCAUGGUGGGGGUUGGAAAGUUUCGGCGGUUGGGGAUGGACUCGCGGCUUAUCAGCUUGUUGGUGGGGUAGUGGCUUACCAAGGCUUUGACGGGUAGCCGGCCUGAGAGGGUGACCGGCCACAUUGGGACUGAGAUACGGCCCAGACUCCUACGGGAGGCAGCAGUGGGGAAUAUUGCACAAUGGGCGGAAGCCUGAUGCAGCAACGCCGCGUGCGGGAUGACGGCCUUCGGGUUGUAAACCGCUUUCGCCUGCGACGAAGCGUGAGUGACGGUAAUGGGUAAAGAAGCACCGGCUAACUACGUG
rnacentral:rRNA from 1 species